AUUGAACGCUGGCGGAAUGCUUUACACAUGCAAGUCGAACGGCAGCACGGGUGCUUGCACCUGGUGGCGAGUGGCGAACGGGUGAGUAAUGCACCGGAACGUAUCCAAUAAUGGGGGAUAACGCACCGAAAGGUGUGCUAAUACCGCAUACGCCCUGAGGGGGAAAGCGGGGGGAUCGUAAGACCUCGCGUUAAUGGAGCGGCCGAUGCCGGAUUAGCUAGUUGGUGAGGUAAAGGCUCACCAAGGCGACGAUCCGUAGCUGGUCUGAGAGGACGACCAGCCACACUGGAACUGAGACACGGUCCAGACUCCUACGGGAGGCAGCAGUGGGGAAUUUUGGACAAUGGGCGAAAGCCUGAUCCAGCCAUGCCGCGUGAGUGAAGAAGGCCU
rnacentral:rRNA from 1 species